rnacentral:rRNA from 1 species
GCGAAGAACCUUACCUACUCUUGACAUCCAGAGAACUUAGCAGAGAUGCUUUGGUGCCUUCGGGAACUCUGAGACAGGUGCUGCAUGGCUGUCGUCAGCUCGUGUUGUGAAAUGUUGGGUUAAGUCCCGCAACGAGCGCAACCCUUAUCCUUGUUUGCCAGCGAGUAAUGUCGGGAACUCCAGGGAGACUGCCGGUGAUAAACCGGAGGAAGGUGGGGACGACGUCAAGUCAUCAUGGCCCUUACGAGUAGGGCUACACACGUGCUACAAUGGCGCAUACAGARGGSGGCCAACUUGCGAAAGUGAGCGAAUCCCAAAAAGUGCGUCGUAGUCCGGAUUGGAGUCUGCAACUCGACUCCAUGAAGUCGGA